ACAAUUCUCUUUUAUUUUCAAUAGUUUGCUCCAUUUUCAAUUCCAAGUGGUUACCAAAAAAAAAAAUAUUUAAUCAUAUCAAGGUACCAAGGAAAUGCAUAAUAAAUAGUGGGCAACUAAGGAUGAUUUCAAAACAAUAAAAUUAAAGGCCAGAAAAAAUACCUACAAAUGCCCCAACAUUUUUCACAUGAUGCAGAUCAAUUUUCGCUUUAGCACGGUCACAAGACAAGUUCUAGAAUGUGACAAAAUGGGAAACACACUCACACAAAAAGAAGGGGUCAAAACAUAUACUUAACAAGUAAUCCCCUUUAUAAAGGCUCAAAACUCACAUAUAGAAGUUGGUUCACAAAAAGAUAGUCCACAUAGCACAUUAUGCUAAUUAUUAGCUUUCAAAAAACAACCCCAAUAUCAACAUUGAACAAGUCUGUCAAAUAAAUUUUUCUAGUGUCNNNNNNNNNNNNNNNNNNNNNNNNNNNNNNNNNNNNNNNNNNNNNNNNNNNNNGCCAAAAUAUAGACCCUCCCCCACACUAGUUCAGAACAUGGUCAAAAUUCAAAACAAAAUAUUCAACUAGACACAAAAGUAAAUAAGUGAGAGAGAGUAAAAGUAGCUUCCCUGAGAAAGCUUUCAACCAUCGAGGCGAGCGACAUAUCUCACUUGGAGCAACCCUUCAUCAUAAUGUUUUGCAACUGUCCAUUAACUUUGAAAGUAGUGUCAUCUUCUUUAGAAACCUCAAGUGCUCCAUGAGGAAGAACUCGAGUGACAGUGUAAGGUCUGAACCAUCUUGAGUGCAACAUUUUGGGAUAAAUAUGUUGAAUUCCUUCAAAACAAAAUUAAACAUACCAACAUAAUAAAAAUAUAAUAAACUAAAAUAUAAAACAAUAAACAUGGGUUGCCUCCCGCGAAGCGCUUAUUUAACGUCCUGAGCUUGACGAGAGCCAAAUAAUCAAUCAGGUGGCUCUCCAAGGGAAAAUUUCACCUUUAAUGCAUUGCCCCUUCUUAACUUUCUAAUCAUGUGGUUCAUAUUAUUCUUUCUUUUUCCAUGUGGUGGAUGAGCUUCAAAAAAUAGUGAAGUUUUC
rnacentral:lncRNA from 1 species